CCAAAAGAAAACGAGAAACAAAUAGAAAGGAAAGAGUUGAAGGAACAAACGCAUAUCAAAUUGUACACCAAAUAUGUCUCUUCCUUUGAUUUUUUUGUUUUUGUU
rnacentral:ribozyme from 1 species